AUCUAAAUAGUUUAUAAAAAUAGUGAUUUGUGGAGUCAAAGAUAUACUUUGUUAUUUUAGAUA
rnacentral:tRNA from 1 species